UACGGAGGGUGCAAACGUUGCUCGGAAUUACUGGGCGUAAAGCGAGCGUAGGCGGCGACGUAAGUCGGGUGUGAAAGCCCUCGGCUCAACCGAGGAAGUGCAUUCGAAACUGCGUUGCUAGAGUACCGGAGGGGAUGACGGAAUUCCCGGUGUAGAGGUGAAAUUCGUAGAUAUCGGGAGGAACACCUGUGGCGAAGGCGGUCAUCUGGACGGAUACUGACGCUGAGGCUCGAAAGCGUGGGGAGCAAACAGG
rnacentral:rRNA from 1 species